rnacentral:tRNA from 1 species
GCCCCGGUAGCACAAUCGGUUAGCGCGCCGUACUUAUACGACAGUAUCAGCUGUGCUGAGAGAUGCGGAGGUUGUGAGUUCGAGCCUCACCCGGGGCA